GCUUGCUAAUAGUGCGAAGUUUGUUACUGUGGCGAUCCUCUGUAAAAUGAUUCUCUAACGAGCGGCAGCUCCACAGAAACACAGCCUGUUCUGUUAAUCACCCUGAUCUGCCCAGGAGAACCAGCCCAAGGACUCUUCUCUCUUACGGAGCGCUGCUGGUUCCCACACAGCUGUGCACAGACGUUGCCGGAUCCGUCCACCCGCCAGCCAUCCCCUGCCUCGCAGCGUCUCCGCUACCAGAAAUGAAAGGCGAUUCACUGAGAACACAAGUUUCGCUCAGCUUCUGCUUUAUGCGUGCAGAAAAAAAGUCACCCUCUCGAUGAGCUGAACGUGCCGUUGGGAGCAGUUGGGCAAUAGCUGCAGGACGGGUAAGCAGAGGACUGUCUAUCGGGAAGUUUACAUUCUGGUGACAAUAUAUGUUCACACAGGAAAUUGGAACAUUAUCUGUUCGUUGAAGAAGAGAACACCUGCUCACUACCUUUCAUGAGAUGGUUGGUGGUAGGUGUUCAUCCUGUCUGGAGGGUAUUCUUAAGCGCAGCUAUUCCCCUCGUACAUACAGCUCCAUGUUCUCUUGACGCGAACGCUUGAUGCUGCUUUUCCUUGAACUCUGGCUCCUGCGUGGCAGUUCUUGGGAGCGUGUCCAAGACAAACUAAAUCUCAAGACCGUACAUAAUUUAUAUUAGAACAUGGCACCAUUACAUCACAGUGCAAGCAAUGGUGUUCUGUUGAUAUCACUACGCAAAGUUACAUUGUACGGAAAUGUCGGGAUCCAUAGCACUACAUCAAUUGACAAAACAGAGACGUAAGUUCGGACAUUGUACCGUGAUGAUUCCUGUAUUAGUAGAUCCUGUGAGCCUCUAAGCCCUUCACUGGGGGCCUCCUCUGGCAAAGUCCUUCCAGUACAGAAAAGGAAGAAAAAUACACCUUUUGUAACUUG